GAACGCUUCUUUCCUCCCGAGUGCUUGCACUCAAUUGGAAAGAGGAGUGGCGGACGGGUGAGUAACACGUGGGUAACCUACCCAUCAGAGGGGGAUAACACUUGGAAACAGGUGCUAAUACCGCAUAACAGUUUAUGCCGCAUGGCAUAAGAGUGAAAGGCGCUUUCGGGUGUCGCUGAUGGAUGGACCCGCGGUGCAUUAGCUAGUUGGUGAGGUAACGGCUCACCAAGGCCACGAUGCAUAGCCGACCUGAGAGGGUGAUCGGCCACACUGGGACUGAGACACGGCCCAGACUCCUACGGGAGGCAGCAGUAGGGAAUCUUCGGCAAUGGACGAAAGUCUGACCGAGCAACGCCGCGUGAGUGAAGAAGGUUUUCGGAUCGUAAAACUCUGUUGUUAGAGAAGAACAAGGACGUUAGUAACUGAACGUCCCCUGACGGUAUCUAACCAGAAAGCCACGGCUAACUACGUGCCAGCAGCCGCGGUAAUACGUAGGUGGCAAGCGUUGUCCGGAUUUAUUGGGCGUAAAGCGAGCGCAGGCGGUUUCUUAAGUCUGAUGUGAAAGCCCCCGGCUCAACCGGGGAGGGUCAUUGGAAACUGGGAGACUUGAGUGCAGAAGAGGAGAGUGGAAUUCCAUGUGUAGCGGUGAAAUGCGUAGAUAUAUGGAGGAACACCAGUGGCGAAGGC
rnacentral:rRNA from 1 species